rnacentral:lncRNA from 1 species
CCCCACCUACCCCGCUGCGUCCUCGCCCGGUGCCGGCGGCCUCGGAGGCACCCGGCGGGGCGAAAAACCCCCAAAACGGCCCCAAAACGUGGGCACGGCGCUGCCGUUGGGGGCCGGGCGGAUCGGGGCAACCGUCCCCGGCCGAAGGUCGCCCGCCGCCGCCCGCGCUUUAUGGCCCCGAGCGCCGCGCCGUGGCAGCCCCAAAAUCCCCGUUUUUCCCCCAAAAAAACGCCCAGGGCCUUGCCCCCAGCCCCAAAUUCCCGGCCCCGAUUUUUGGGGUCCCCCCCCCGGUGAUUUCUCCCCGCAGACGGCGGCGGCCCCGCGGCCAAGCGGAGCCCCCGGGAGGACGCUGGCGGCGCGGGGACGGCGGCACCGGGUGCAGGAUGGGACCUGCCCCGGGAAGGGCUGAGCACCGGCACCGGCGGUGCUGAGCCCACCACGAGCCCAAAAUGCAUGGGGACGGCGGCACCGGGUGCAGGAUGGGACCUGUCCCAGGAAGGGCUGAGCACCGGCACCGGCGGUGCUGAGCCCACCACGAGCCCAAAAUGCGUGGGGACGGCGGCCACGGAGCGCGGCCACGGAGCCCAGCAGGAAGGAGCCGACGGCGGCGAGCGGGGUCCGGAUGCCGGCUCAGCACCGGAGCUCAGCGCCGCGGGGACGCCAGCGCCGCCGGGCAGCACCCGGGCACCCGGGGACCCCCACGGGGGGCUCUGCCCUGCGCCGGGGGGCACCGCGGGCACCAGCACCAGCACCGGUACCAGCACCAGCAGCAGCACUGGUACCAGCACCGGCAUUGACCCCAGCACCAGCACUGAGCCCAGCACCGGCACCGGCAGUAGCCCCAGCGCCAGUACCAGUACCGGCACUGACACCAGCACCAGUGCCAGCACCGGCACAAGCACCAGCACCGAUGCCAGAACCAGCACCAGCAUUGACCCCAGCACCAGCACUGACCCCAGCACCGGCACCGGCACUGGCCCCAGCACCAGUACCAGUACUGGCACUGACACCAGCACCAGUGCCAGCACCGGCACAAGCACCAGCACCGAUGCCAGAACCAGCACCAGCACCAGCAAUGAUCCCAGCACCACCACCGGCACCAGCACCAGCAUUGACCCCAGCACCAGCACCAAUGCCAGCACCAGCACUGACCCCAGCGCCGGUACCAGUACUGACACUGACCCCAGCACUGGCACCGACACCAGCACCGAAACCAGCACCAGUGCCAGCACCAGCACCACCACCGGCACCAGCACCAGUACCAGCACUGACCCCAGCACCACCACCGGCACCGAUGCCAGCACCAGUACUGGCACCAGCACUAGCAAUGACCCCAGCACCACCACUGGCACCACCACCGGCACCAGCAAUGGCACCGGUACCAGCACUGGCAUGAGCACCAGCACCGAUACCAGCACCGAUACCAGCACCACCACCACCACCAGUACCAGCACUGACCCCAGCACCACCGGCACCAGCACCGACACCAGCAUUGACCCCAGCACCACCACCAGCACCAAUACCAGCACCAGCACCACCAGCACUGACACCAGCAUGAACACCACCACCAGCACCAGCACCUACCCCAGCAUCGACACCAGCACCACCAGCACCACCACCAGCACCGGCACCGACCCCAGCAUCGACACCAGCACCACCAGCACCACCAGCACCACCACCAGCACCAGCACCUACCCCAGCAUCGACACCAGCACCACCAGCACCACCACCAGCACCAGCACCGGCAGCCCCCAGCCCCCAGAGACUCCCGGACGCCACUGCACCGAGGCAGACGGCGGCACCGCCACUGGUGCUGAGCGCCCGAGCGGGGCCGUGGAGCCGAGCGGGAGCCCGGCGGAGGUCUGGGGGCGCUGCCCCCCCCCGGGGGUCCCACAGGGGGGCCAGGAGGAGGCCAAGGAGCUCAGGGACCCAGGACCCCGGGGUGCUGCGGUGCUGGGGGGGGGCACGGCGGAGGCAGAGCCGCGGCCCCCCGGUGCGGUGAGGGACACCCCAAACGCCGACGGCGCGGUGCCCCCGCAGACACCCCCCACCGGGCCACGGGAUGCUGCAGGAUGCGGCCACCCCCCAGCGCUCAGCAGCACCGCGCCGCGGGCACAGCCUGGGUAAGGGGCACCGCGCGCUGCCGGGCCAAAAAUGCUUGUUUUAACCCCAAAACGUGGCCC